rnacentral:ncRNA from 15 species
UACUAUGAUGAUCCUUACAAAAACAAAAGCUGGAAUUACUGGCUGAAAGACUACGUGUUGAUAAGUUUUUGGCAAUAAGACUGAUU